AACAUUAGUUUUUAUAUACUUCUCCUAUCUUUGGGAUAAUUGACGAAAUCCAUUUUGGAAGAAGGAUAGUGGUUUUGAGUUGAUAAAUUUAUUGAUGUGUGUGCUUUUAUCGACUUUCUUAGGAGACUUGAAGUGAGAAUCAAUUAGGUGAUGUAGAGAUUGAAAAAAUGGUAAUCCGAAAUCUAGAGAAUACGUUGUAUAAGGGAGAAUUUUCCAGGCCAAGUCGGAGUUGAUUUUUAAGGUUUUUGCUGUGUGCGGCCGCGUAUUAUCAUGUAAACGAUCCGCCUUUUGAAUCCUACCGAACUUAUGUACAUUCCAAAAUCACUUGUUGGCUUACUGAAAAUGUAUUUGCAAGCUUUAAAUUAAUUUGACAACGAUUUCCUUUUAAAAGUUGUUCCAAUUUUUUAUUUUAAACUUUUUUUAGUUGGCCAGGGCGAUUUUUAUUCUAGAAAUUGAAAUUAUCAUCCCGAAAUUUUUGAAACCACUUUUUACGUAUAUGUGGUACUACUACUAUAACAUACAUUACAGAAUUUGGGUAUUCUUCCGUAUGCAUCACCUAUCCAAAUGAUCUGAAAUUUUACAUAUAAAUUGUAUUCAAUGUGAGUAGUAAAAUGUAUGUGGUUCCAAUUUUAAAAAUGAAAAACAGAUUUAUAAAAUAUAAAAAGUUUUAUAAAAUAUUAUGUUAUUAUAACAUCACAUUCUCAUCGACUUAUUAGAGAAUUAGGUAAUUGUGCACUAUAGGAGCCCAGUUUCGACCUUGACAUAUGUCAAGGUUAUCACCCGAAGUGACCUUCAGAAAGUUUUAGCUGGUGCUCGUUGUUUGUUAAAAAGUUAUUAACAAGUAAAAUUGACAAAUCAAAUGUAUUUUAUAUUUUUGCUUUUCGUAGAAGGUCGCAAACUCAUGUAGAACAGUACAAUCAUGGACCACGUUUUCUCCUUAAGUAGGGGGAGCAGGGAGGAGUGGAGGGGAGGCUCACUUUGCAUGGAAAAUCACAAACUCAUGUGGGACAGUACAAUCAUCCCAGCAAACAUAGUUACAUAACAGCAACGUUGACAUAAUAAACUAGAAGGUAACACGCAAUAUAACGUGUUUGUUACAUAUAACGUCCAUGUUAGUUGUAAUUUGCCACUCAAAAAAUAUUACAGUUGCAUUGUAUCUACAUAACAUGUAACUGAGAGAAAACGUUGCUGUUAUAUACAGAUUAUUGUUGUUAUAUUGUUGUAAUGAUAAUGUUAUGUUUACCUAUUAACCUAAUUUGCUUCUUGCACAUUUUAAUCCCAGAAAAAUUUUUGAAUUAAUUCUAAGCAAAAGCAAACCAAACAAUUCGUUUGUUUUUACAGAGAAUUGAUCCAAAGAUGUUUUCUGCGAUAAAUAUAUGCAAGACAUAUUUCUAGGAAAUUUAUAUUUUAACAAGGAAAAAAAA
rnacentral:lncRNA from 13 species